UGAGGUGUUGGGUUAAGUCCCGCAACGAGCGCAACCCUCGUCCUUAGUUGCCACCAUUCAGUUGGGCACUCUAAGGAGACUGCCGGCGUUAAGCCGGAGGAAGGUGGGGACGACGUCAAGUCAUCAUGGCCCUUAUGUCCAGGGCCACACACGUGCUACAAUGGGCGGUACAAAGGGUUGCAAACCCGCGAGGGGGAGCUAAUCCCAAAAAGCCGCUCUCAGUUCGGAUUGCACUCUGCAACUCGAGUGCAUGAAGUUGGAAUCGCUAGUAAUCGCGGAUCAGCAUGCCGCGGUGAAUACGUUCCCGGGCCUUGUACACACCGCCCGUCACACCAUGGGAGUUGGUUUUACCCGAAGGUAGUGCGCUAACCGCAAGGAGGCAGCUAACCACGGUAGGGUCAGCGACUGGGGUGAAGUCGUAACAAGGUAA
rnacentral:rRNA from 1 species